GGAGGACGUGGCUGGGAAGGUAUAGAUGGCCAGCGAUAGCAGGGGAGGUCGAACCACCACGACGUUCGAUUCUCCUUUUAUUGUAGAAAAAAAGAAAAGAAGAGAAGAGAGAUGUUGAAACAACAGUUGAAUCAUUUGCUCUCGCUCUUGUUUCGUUUACAUUCACAUUCAAUACGUUAUCAGCACGCUCGCCGUUGAGCGAGUCUCGCCGGAACAAAAACAUCUACAAAGGUGAGAAAAGAGUUGCUUUUUCGCUGUCUGUAACGCGUCUCUGCCCAUCGACACGACGGCCGUCGCUACGGCGGACCAGGCCGCUACCUUGGCCGCCGCCAUGGAGCAGGAGGCUACCGAGGCUUCCGUGGUUUUCCUCAUCGCCACCGGAACGGCGCCGCGAGGGUGCCGGUGCAAAACCUUGUGACGGCCGAGUAGGCGCCCGUGCCCCUGCCGGUGCAGGACCUUGGGCCGGACGUCGCGCCCCUGGUGCCGGCGGUAGAGGAUUGGCUCCUCGCCGGUCUGGCAGCCCCGAGGCUGCACGUCGAACCCGUCACGUCUGUGAUGGCUGCUCUGACUCCAGGGAACGGCACGAGCGACUCCUCAAUGGCCGCUGCCGACGGUACGCAGGCCGGCGCGUCGCAUGCAUCCAUCGGCUUCACGGCCGUGGAUGUGAACACGGCUGCCUCGCCUCUGCCCUCGCCUACUCCCGCGACACCGUCGCCUUCGCCGACCCUCUCGUGACCCGCGGCCUCCCGCCUAGCUCGGCGGCGGCCUCGCCCUCGGGCAGACGCGGUCGCCGUGCCGGCUCGUGGAGCCCGGCCGCGCUGGGACUCGCGAACGGCGUCGCGCCCGGGACGCAGCUCCCUGGCAAACCUCGGACGAGGACGAGCAUAGCGGGUGCGCCUCUCGCCGCCAGUGAUCGCCGCUGCGGCGCAUGCGUGCUCGUGGCCAGCCGGCCGGCCGUUGAGCGCUCCGCCUGGAACUGUCUCGGGCGUGGAUAGGAAGAUGCGAUGGGGAUUUAAUUUCUUUGGUCGUUCGGUCGCUCUUCUUAUCCACACGGACUGAACUGAUUAGGCUGGGGCUGGCUCACGUGGCCCAUGUGCAUGCGGCAGAAUCGCUCCAGCAGCCUAUCCCUUUGU
rnacentral:rRNA from 1 species